rnacentral:lncRNA from 1 species
AUUUAUCCUACCAACUUGGUUCAUGUUCUUGGGGCCUCCCUGCGAGGGUGCAUUGUGAAACCCUUUUGGAGACCUCCAACACUUCUUGGCCAACCUCAGGCCCUCCUGCUAACAGGCUUCAUCAAGAAACAUGUGUAAUUGUUGCUGGAAUGAAGACAAAGACCAUGAAGAUGCCUUCUCACUUGCUAGCUAAAGUGGCAUUAGGUCCUUGACCUUCUUAUUCCCAAAGGGUGUGGUGAGACUCAG